GCUGGGCACGAUGGCACGUGCCUGUAGUCCCAGCUACUUGGGAGGCUGAGACUGCAGGAUUGCUUGAGCCCAAGAGUUCUGAGCUGUAGUGCGCUAUGCCAAUCGGGUGUCUGCACUAAAUUCAGCAUCAAUAUGGUGACCUCCUAGGAGUGGGGGACCACCAGGUUGCCUAAGGAGGGGUAAACAGGCCCAGGCUGAAAAAGGAGCAGGUCAAAACUCCCGUGCUGAUCAGUAGCGGAUUGCGUCUGUGAAUAGCCACUGCACUCCAGCCUGGGCAACAUAGCAAGACUCC
rnacentral:SRP_RNA from 1 species